AUCACAAGACAAGUAAAGAUUCUUGAACAAAACUUCAUCUUGAGUGCCUUCAGGGAUCUUAAGCUUCAUAGAAGAAGCGAUAAUUUCCAUAUCAGACUCUUUUGGAUACCCAGUUACAUAAUUCUUCAAUAACACCUGCUUGUUGCUUACUUCUUCAGCCAUUGUCCUUUGUUCUGUACCUGUGAUCUCUUUUGGAUACCCAGUUACAUAAUUCUUCAAUAACACCUGCUUGUUGCUUACUUCUUCAGCCAUUGUCCUUUGUUCUGUACCUGUGAU
rnacentral:misc_RNA from 1 species